rnacentral:rRNA from 1 species
CCAAUAGCGUAUAUUAAAGUUGUUGCAGUUAAAAAGCUCGUAGUUGAACUUCGGGGUUUACCCAUUGGUCAGGUUUAAUUAUCUGUACUGGUGAGAUAAAUCUCUACCUUCUGAGGAACUUUCAUGCCAUUUAUUUGGUGUGGGAGGAAAUCAGGACUGUUACUUUGAAAAAAUUAGAGUGUUUAAAGCAGGUUAACGUCUGAAUACAUUAGCAUGGAAUAAUGAAAUAGGACGGACUGAUUCUAUUUCGUUGGUUUCUAGGAUCACCGUAAUGAUUAAUAGGGAUAGUUGGGGGCAUUAGUAUUCAAUUGUCAGAGGUGAAAUUCUUGGAUUUAUUGAAGACUAACUACUGCGAAAGCAUUUGCCAAGGAUGUUUUCAUUAAUCAAGAACGAAAGUUAGGGGAUCGAAGACGAUCAGAUACCGUCGUAGUCUUAACCAUAAACUAUGCCGACUAGGGAUCGGACGAAGUUAAUUUUAUAAUGACGCGUUCGGCACCUUACG